UAAAGCGUGCGCAGGCGGUUUGUAAGACUGUCGUGAAAUCCCCGGGCUCAACCUGGGAAUGGCGAUGGUGACUGCAUGGCUAGAGUUUGGCAGAGGGGGGUAGAAUUCCACGUGUAGCAGUGAAAUGCGUAGAUAUGUGGAGGAACACCGAUGGCGAAGGCAGCCCCCUGGGUCAAAACUGACGCUCAUGCACGAAAGCGUGGGGAGCAAACAGGAUUAGAUACCCGUGU
rnacentral:rRNA from 1 species